AUCAGUACCUAAAAGUGAUUUUCAAUGAUUUCAGAACCAAAGCUCAUCACAAGGAAGCAACCUGCAAACCCAACAUUUUCUAAGAUAGAGUGGAUAGAGUUUUGA
rnacentral:lncRNA from 13 species